UUGUGGAUGCUGCAGCCUCAGCUCUGGCUCCAGAGAUGGGAGAUGGCAGGAGCUUGGUUGAGUGGGUUCAGCCAGGGGCCUUCAGAGGCAGCCUGGCCCUGGGGACUGGCCCAGGGGUGGGUAAGUUCAGGCCACAGAGCCUACCGGGAGCUGGGCUCUGCCCUGAGAACAUCCCCCAGACCCACUGGGUUAUGCAGCCAACUGCCACCCCCUCACUAGACCUCAAGUUCUCCAUCUACGUGAUGAGGAAUUGAAUGUGGUGGUGUCAGAUGAAGGAUGACCCCAGCGGGCUCCCCAAGGAGGUGAGGCAGGUGGAGUCCAAGAGCAUCUAUGUGUGUGACACCUUGGCUAUGUGCAUGUGCGACUUUGUGGCCACAUGUGUCUGAGUGUGUGUGUGUCACUGUGUGAGGGUACGGCAGUGUGCACAGAACCAUGGUAUGGCUCUGAGUAACAACAUGGCUGAGACUGACACUGUGAACGGAUAUCAGCACGCAUGUGGGUAUGGACGAGUGUGGACAGAGCUCUGAACAUGUGACAGCAUGUGGCACAGUGGCUGGGAGUGCAAUUGUGCAAGCACAUGACCAUGCAUAGGUGUGUGGAGCCAGGUGUGACCUGUGUGCCCAUGGGCAGGUUGUGUCUGUGUCUGCUUUGAGUCAGGCCACUGUGUCUGUGAUCAUGUGGCUCCACAAAGCAUACUUCUUUCCUGGGCUGGGCCAAGACUGGGGAUCAGGGGUCCCCGACUCCCCACCUCCAGGUCCUGGUAGCUGCCCAGGGCAGAAAGAGAAGCCUUGUUUUCCACCCGGCUCAGGGAGGAAACUGGAGGCAGCUGGGCCCAGCUUAGUCUGGAACAUCUGCCUGGCAUGUGAACAUCUGCCAGCAGGCCCAGCCACCACCAGGAUACCCCCCUACACACACUGGUUCCCAGUCCCCCAUUGAAAGAGGCUCUGGCCAGUCCAGACCCAUCUCAAAUUCCCCCAACACCCCAACCAACACAGAGAUAGAAAGAAACCAGAGAGAAGAGCCCUGACGUCCUCACUUCCCACCACAUACAGGUCUGUCUCAGCCUAGAGACCUCAGGAUGCCCAGAGGAGGCUUGGCUCAUCCCAAGACUUCACGUUCUGAUGUCUUUCCUAGGUCCAAGCCCCUCCCCCUGAGGAUGGAAGGUGUAGGACGUGGCCCGCCUCAAGGAAG
ensembl:lncRNA